ensembl:lncRNA
UGCUGAUAAUGGGCCUCUGUACACCUAUGCAGAUAUUCAAUUAAAAAUCUGCCAUUUCCAGCUACAAUAGUAAUUUACAACAUUAACAAUGUCUACACUGUAUUUCUUUCAAAAACAAGGACAUUUCUAAGUGACCCCAAACUUUUGAACGGUAGUGUAGCGUUCAUUGAGGAAUCUCUUUAGUUCUUGGGGGUUCUUGCAGGAACUUAAAUGCCCAACUGAAAAUGUUUUAAUUUAUGACGACAGCAGGUGCAGGCACUUAACAUUUUUAAGAUCUCCUCAAUGUCAGGUAAGGUUCUCUCUGAAACAGAAAAUGGACACAAUUCAAUGGAUAUCAAUCAAAUAACGAGGUAUUGCCUACCGUCAAGGAGGCACACAAAGGCUCCCCCAGUCAACACCAACUCAUAAGAUUGCCUGCUGCAGUUGUUAGAGCGAUGUCCAGUUCGCAGCCGAGAGCAGCAAGGGGGACAUCAUCAGCAUCAUGCAGACAUACUCUCACUAUGAAUGGAACAGUCAGCCACAUGUUGGCAAGUAUCCUGCCAGCAACCGUCACCUGUCAGUGGCAGUAACUUUUACAGGCUCAUCAUUUCUGCAAAUACAGAAGCUCAGGCGUUCGGCGUCGCCGGCCUUCUAGCUGCUGCCGAACCUACUGCUGGCAAAUGCCCUUCACUCAUCAACCCAGGACUUGUCUCCUCAUCAUUACACACACCUGGUUCCUAUCCCCACUCUCACUGUAUAUAUAC